GUGAAUUUAGGGUAGCUACUUGUAGCACCCGACCUCCACUUCUAACACUGUGCACUUAUUGGCAAAGUUACCACUGUGAAGGCGGCGUCAAGCUACUGGAUCUCGGUUCUUUGCGGCUUUAUUUUAUAACUCCAAGUUAAAGAAUGUAAACCAAAUAAAAACAAAA
rnacentral:misc_RNA from 1 species